UUCGGCCGCCGCCCGACCCGAGCGCUGGCUGCAUCCAGUAGCCACAUCAUGGCGGCGCGACGAAGCAGCCCGCGUCGACGCUUCCCUGCUGCUCCCCUCUCCCUCUAACCUUGCGCCGCCACCCGUCGCUUAGCGCCUUCCGCCCGUCGGCCUCCUCCUCCCUGGAUCUCGGCUGGUCGAUCCUGCCCGUGGGCGCGUGGCUGGAGGCGGGGAGGGCCGAGGCGGCAAGACUGCGACCAGGCAGUAGCCACCAGGUUGCGACCGGCGACGAGGGGUCUCUCCGCAACUCCCAGUAUGUCACCGGCAGGCCUUGAUGAAGCUGUUGAAGCCGAUGAAGGUGGUGAGGCAGACGUACUGGAAGUCGCUGAUGCAAAAAUUACAGUGGCUGAAGAGAUCACUAGUUGGUGUAGAAAUGAUGACGAAGGAUCCAAUGUUGAUGUUUCAGUCAUAGAAAAUAUAAAACCUGUUGAGUUUGAAGAUGUCCAGUUCGAAACUGAUGAUGAUACGGAUGAUGAUGACACUUAUGUAAAAUGAUGGCCAUGUUGUUCCUUUGGGACAAGAAGAAUCGGAUGAUGAACAGGGGUUCUUUAUAUAGUUUUUAAUCUCUUGGUUCAAACAAGGUGAACCUGCAUAGUGUCAUAUGUUGUGGCAAAAGGGAACAGAAGCUAGUGCUCAGCACUAAGAGUUUGAUUUUUUCCGAAACGAGGCAUUAACAGUUUUGUGAUGAAGAGAAGAGAAGAGUAGUUGCUGAUGUGUAAUAUCAUGGAUGUUUUCCUUUUAGUGCUGUUGCUAUUUUGACAGUGAUGCUAUGUACACACUAUUACUAUGAACUUGUGGUCUUUUAGUGAUGUUGCUAUUUUCA